AUGGCCAACUUCAGAGCUCUAGCCACCGCCGCGAUCUUCCUCCUGGUCGCGCUCUCCACGUCGCACAUUGCCUCCUCCCUUCGCCCCGGCCUAGGGGUCUGCCGUGCCAGCGGCUAUCUCCCGGGCAAGUCCGGCAACUGCGAGAAGAGCAAUGACCCGGACUGCUGCGAAGACGGUAAGAGGUACCCACAGUACCACUGCUCGCCGCCGGUCACCGCGACCACCAAGGCCGUCCUGACGCUAAACAGCUUCGAGAAGGGCAAGGAUGGCGGUGGCCCGUCAGAGUGUGACAACUCCUACCACAGCGACAAGGAACUGGUCGUUGCGCUCUCCACUGGCUGGUUCAAGAACAUGGCACGUUGCGGUCACCACAUCAAGAUCACCGCAAACGACAAGUCCGUGUACGCCAAGGUGGUGGACGAGUGCGACUCCGUGUAUGGCUGUGACGCUGACCACAACUAUGAGCCUCCAUGCGAUAAUAACAUCGUUGAUGCCUCACCGGCGGUGUGGAAUGCCCUGGGGCUCGACCAGAACGUCGGCAUGGAGGAUAUCACCUGGUCAGAGGAGUAA
rnacentral:rRNA from 1 species